UAUCGCAAGUGCCAGAGCUCUCCCUGCUGCAGUUUUCUAGUCGCAGUGCGGCAAAGCAGACGCCUAGAACCGGGCACGGAGCAGCAUAGGCUUUAUUAUUUUGUAUUAAAAAACCUUCCAUCUGUUUUACUGCUGUGUACAUUUUUUACCUUUGUCCAGGAGAAGCAUACCACCUGGAUGUGCACGUUAGCUUCAGACAUUCGCAGCGUCUCUUGAACGGAGGCACGCACUGCUCGGAGCCUUUUACCUAAAUUGCCUCUGACGAAGAGCGAUUGGUUUUUCUGCCUUGUAUGUGAACAGUUGCUUAUGCCACAACGACACACACCUGCAGGAACAGGACAAAGGAGACGAUACCUGUUACUGUCUGGGGCCUUUUUAACCCCCCCUUCUGUUUUGGGUUGUUGUUGUUUUUUGCAAGCGCUCUGCUGCGGAAGCCUUCUCAAUAUCCCAGAGUAAUAUAUUAGUUCCUGGUCCUAUAGAUAUAGCCACAGUUUUUCCCACCGGUUAGAGCAAAAGCUCAAGCAAGAAAGCAGACUCCCUGACCUAAAUCAAGCCCAGUCCUUUUGGAUGGAUGCAGGGUAGCAGUCGGCUAGCAGUGUCACAGCCAGCCAUCAAGUGGAGAAUCUCUGGGAUUGCAAUCUCUUUCACUUUCAGCCUGUGAGAAUCGAGUGCUCCACUUUGCUACCCAACUGCUGCUGGUUUCUGUUUUUUACAUUUCUUUUCCAUAAGCAGCUAUUUACUUGUGGUUUUCUUUUCUCUCUCUCUUUUUUUUUAGCCUCCUAAGUGUAUAUUUGUGUGGAUUAGUCUGUCGUGAGCACAGUCCUUGUCCGCGUCACAUUGGAAGCGAGGGCACUGAAGUCAGCCUGCCUUAACAGUUGUUUCUUUCUGCGUGAUGCUAUGCAGCUAGAAUGGGUUACAUUGACAACAAAGGAAGACGCACAAAACAACACUAUCUUCUGGGUUGUUGUUUCAGGAGAAUAUAUAACUCUUCUUCAGUUGCAACACGCUCUUUUUUUUUGUAUUUUGCUGUUUCUUUUUCCUUCUCUAAAGCCAUCUAAUCAAAGAACAGGCAACGUUGUGGAUGUGGGUUUUCAAAAUGCUAUUGGAGGGGGGGUGGCGAUGUGAUGGGGGGAGAGAAAAAGACAGCUCGUGGAGAACUGUGAUUUGUGGCAAGCGGCACAUCCUUUGCAUUCUUGCUGAUUUGAAAGACUCAGGUUUUUGUUGUUUUUUUGCGAAGAGGAAGCCCUAAGGGACAAGUUCUGUAACUAAGAAAGCGAUCGUAGAUAAAGGAAUAAAAAUGACAAGCGUAAACGGAGGCUCAGAGCAGAAGAAACUGUCAGUGCCUGGAUGGCAGCUUCACCCAGUCUGAAUAAUUAUGAAUAAUUCAUAGAACAAAAUUACUCUGCUUUCACCUUUUCCACUUAAAAUGGCAUGAUGUGAAUCUCUAAUAAAUUUUCAAGAUAAAAUAUAAUGCCAACUUGAAUCCGAAGAGCUUUUUUUCUUCCUUUUUGCAGCCAGAUGCUACACGCCGAUUCUUCCAGUAUACCUUUCACAAUUAUUCCGUGAGAAUCCCACUUCAUCACGAAGCACCAUUACCAAUGAAAAUUAUUGUGAUUACAAUGGCAACAAUAGAAUGCCAUCAAACGAUUUCUAACUUACCUAAUUUGCUAAGGCUGACUGCAUUAGUUUCAUUGCCCGGGUCUCCAUGCCUGGCAUCUUGGAUCCAUAUCAGAAAGAGACAAAAGUGGUUCAGCACCUUUAACUUUGACGGCACAGGAGAAAAUGCAGCCAUGUGUUUCAUGGUUUCAGCCAUGUAUGUGUUACACGCCUGCUUUUCCAUCAUCCUUGGCGAUUUUGUUUAGCUUCUGGGCGUAGGAUGGAAUUCUGUUACAGGACAAAGUGAAGUGACUGGAGGAGCCCUUAUGAAGACGGCAGGGGAAACGCUGGAGAAGCUCGGAGCUAGACCAAGGAAUUUGAGGAGAAGGCUCAAAAGGUCUAAAUACGGAAUGAACGCAGCAAAAGUUGGUUGAUGAGCUAGGCAGUGGCAGAUUGCUCAAGCAGUAAACCACUUCUAAGUGCCAUGCUUGGCUUCCCAGAGACAUCUGGGAAUGCUGGACUUUGGUCUGUCCCAGUGUGGUUCUUACCUAUGGUUGUGAUAAGGUAUUAUUUGCAUUUUAAGGCCAUGGAAGUAUAUGUUGUUGCCAUUAUUAUUAUUAUUAUUAUUAUUAUUUCUGCCAUUAUACAGUUUCCUUACCACUCAGUGACUCCUAAAGCAGCUGACGGUCAAUGAAAUACAAAAACCAAAUCAAUUAUUAACACCGCACAACAAAACAGCAACUCGAAGCUAUAAACAUCAAAGGAGGAAUCAUUAAACAACAGAGUUUCCCUGCUCUUCAAAUCUCCAGCCAAAAGCAUAUUUAACUGGAAAAUGCAGUAGCAAAAUAGUUUAACAAUUUGGCCCAAUACCAAUUUGUAAACUAAAAGCCUGUGGCCUCAGUCCUGUAGUUCGCUUAUUCUGAGUUUCAUUUGAUUU